rnacentral:sRNA from 2 species
AAGACAUUUAAUUAUUUUUGAUUACUAGUACUGAGCAGCGAUGGGGUGAAUUGGCACAGGCGAAGCGCCACCACAACGUCCCGAAGAACCCAUCACCAUGUCCAUUUGCUUCUCUACCGCGGACACUAGCCCAGCAGUUCUGGGGAUCGAUUGCGCUGGAACACGCUCAGGGCAAGCCGGACUCGGGCGAUGUCGGGUUGGGGCGCCUGGGAAAACUACGCAGUAGCAGUAGAUCAGAACUACGAAACGGUGAAAGAACAGGUCAAUGGCUGAUGCGAGAAGUCUAACAUUCGCUUCCGCGUUCUUUUUCUAACGCACCAGGGUGACUCCGUGAUGGAGAGCACAUUGGUUUGCUCUCUUAUUGUAGAUAUAUAUACCUCGUGUCUGGUUUUCCCAACAGAAAGAAUUGAGUUUGGUUAUGCCCCUGAGCUUUUUAUUUUUUUUUUUAAUAAUAAUCCCUGUCCUCUCGGUUUGCUACUCUAGCUCGAUAAACUAACUGGCAGCUUCGGGAGAGCUGGGGAUUUUAGUGACAAAAUCCUGG